CCUUGUUCUAAUCCCUAAUGGGAGCAUGUUAUAAAAGAACCACGUGAUUAAGUAAAAUUGGUCUCCUGGGAUGUGUGAGCUCAGGGAAACUUUCAGAAUGAUUAAUGUGGGCAGGUCGGAAACACAUAAAUACAAGCACUUUGUCAGAUGGGUUGUAAAGAAGCUGUAUUGUCCAAAGCAUUUAAUCCUGAAAUCGUUUUACACAGG